rnacentral:lncRNA from 1 species
UUUAUUUGAUGCAUUGAUCUUCAUGAUGUCUGAUAUUGUUAAUUUCUUGUUGAUGAUUGCUUGAUUCAAAGUCCAAAGGGAAAAUGGGUCUUCUAUAAGACAUUCUUGUCUGUUGGAUUGCAUCCCAUUGGUCAGACCUUCUCAACUCUUAACUUUUAAUUUUAUGCUUAGGAUUAGUCUCUUCAUCUCCUCCCACUUCUU